UUGGAGGGCAAGUCUGGUGCCAGCAGCCGCGGUAAUUCCAGCUCCAAUAGCGUAUGUUAAAGUUGUUGCCGUUAAAAAGCUCGUAGUUGAACCUUGGACCUGGCUGAUCUGUCCUCCUAAUCGAGCGCACGGAUUCGGUCGGGUCUUUCCUUCUGGGGAGCCCUAUGCCCUUCACUGGGUGUAGUGGGGAACCAGGACUUUUACCUUGAAAAAAUUAGAGUGUUCAAAGCAGGCCUUUGCUCGAAUACAUUAGCAUGGAAUAAUAGAAUAGGACAUCGGUUCUAUUUUGUUGGUUUCUAGGACCGCUGUAAUGAUUAAUAGGGAUAGUCGGGGGCGUCAGUAUUCAAUUGUCAGAGGUGAAAUUCUUGGAUUCAUUGAAGACUAACUACUGCGAAAGCAUUCGCCAAGGAUGUUUUCAUUAAUCAGUGAACGAAAGUUAGGGGAUCGAAGACGAUCAGAUACCGUCGUAGUCUUAACCAUAAACUAUGCCGACUAGGGAUCGGACGGUGGUUUUUUUAUGCCCCGUUCGGCGCCUUACGGGAAAC
rnacentral:rRNA from 1 species